rnacentral:rRNA from 1 species
GUGACCUGCGGAGGGAUCAUUACUGAGUGAGGGCCUCUGGCCCGACCUCCAACCCUUUGUUAUCAAAACCACUGUUGCCUCGGGGGCGACCCGUGCCCGUCGGCGCGGGGCCCCCGACGGACCAUUUACAAACUCUGCAUCUUUGCGUCGGGUUUAAAAGUUUAAUUGAUUAAAACUUUCAACAACGGAUCUCUUGGUUCUGGCAUCGAUGAAGAACGCAGCGAAAUGCGAUAAGUAAUGUGAAUUGCAGAAUUCAGUGAAUCAUCGAGUUUUUGAACGCACACUGCGCCCCUUGGUAUUCCGGGGGGCAUGCCCGUUCGAGCGUCAUUUCUCAAAUCAAGCCUGGCUUGGUAUUGGCCACGGGGGCGACCCGGGCCUCAAAGUCGCCGGCUGGAAAGCUCUGAUCUCAGCGUCGUGGUAAAUCAAUUCGCCGACGAGAGGAGCAGUCUGCGCCGUAAAAACUACACAAGGUUGACCUCGGAUCGGGUAGGAAUACCCGCUGAACUUAA